rnacentral:rRNA from 1 species
UACGGAGGGUGCGAGCGUUGUCCGGAAUCACUGGGCGUAAAGGGCGCGUAGGCGGUCUGCUAAGCGUGCGGUGAAAGCCUGGGGCUCAACCCCAGGUCUGCCGUGCGAACUGGUGGACUAGAGCACUGUAGAGGCAGGUGGAAUUUCGGGUGUAGCGGUGGAAUGCGUAGAGAUCCGAAAGAACACCGGUGGCGAAGGCGGCCUGCUGGGCAGUUGCUGACGCUGAGGCGCGACAGCGUGGGGAGCAAACAGGAUUGAGAGUACCCCGAGUA